rnacentral:rRNA from 1 species
UACGUAGGGCGCAAGCGUUAUCCGGAAUUAUUGGGCGUAAAGAGCUCGUAGGCGGUGUGUCGCGUCGGCCGUGAAAACCUGGGGCUCAACUCUGGCGUGCGGUCGAUACGGGCAUCACUUGAGUUCGGCAGGGGAGACUGGAAUUCCUGGUGUAGCGGUGAAAUGCGCAGAUAUCAGGAGGAACACCGGUGGCGAAGGCGGGUCUCUGGGCCGAUGACUGACGCUGAGGAGCGAAAGCAUGGGUAGCGAACAGG